rnacentral:rRNA from 1 species
UACGAAGGGGGCUAGCGUUGUUCGGAAUCACUGGGCGUAAAGCGCAUGUAGGCGGAUGCUUAAGUCAGGGGUGAAAUCCCGAGGCUCAACCUCGGAACUGCCUUUGAUACUGGGGAUCUUGAGUCCGGGAGAGGUGAGUGGAAUUGCGAGUGUAGAGGUGAAAUUCGUAGAUAUUCGCAAGAACACCAGUGGCGAAGGCGGCUCACUGGCCCGGUACUGACGCUGAGGUGCGAAAGCGUGGGGAGCAAACAGG